AUUGAACGCUGGCGGCAGGCCUAACACAUGCAAGUCGAGCGGAUGAAGGGAGCUUGCUCCUGUAUUCAGCGGCGGACGGGUGAGUAAUGCCUAGGAAUCUGCCUGGUCGUGGGGGAUAACGUCCGGACACGGGCGCUAAUACCGCAUACGUCCUGAGGGAGAAAGUGGGGGAUCUUCGGACCUCACGCUAUCAGAUGAGCCUAGGUCGGAUUAGCUAGUUGGUGGGGUAAAGGCCUACCAAGGCGACGAUCCGUAACUGGUCUGAGAGGAUGAUCAGUCACACUGGAACUGAGACACGGUCCAGGCUCCUACGGGAGGCAGCAGUGGGGAAUAUUGGACAAUGGGCGAAAGCCUGAUCCAGCCAUGCCGCGUGUGUGAAGAAGGUCUUCGGAUUGUAAAGCACUUUAAGUUGGGAGGAAGGGCAGUAAGUUAAUACCUUGCUAUUUUGACGUUACCAACAGAAUAAGCACCGGCUAACUUCGUG
rnacentral:rRNA from 1 species